rnacentral:rRNA from 1 species
AUUGAACGCUGGCGGCAUGCCUAACACAUGCAAGUCGAGCGAGCGGCGGACGGGUGAGUAAUGUCUGGGAAACUGCCUGAUGGAGGGGGAUAACUACUGGAAACGCUAGCUAAUUCCGCAUACCAUCAUAUGUUCCCAGAUGGGAUUAGCUAGUAGGGAGGGUAACGGCUAACCUAGGCGACGAUCCCUAGCUGGUCUGAGAGGGUGACCAGCGUAACUGGAACUGAGACACGGUCCAGACUACUACGGGAGGCAGCAGUGGGGAAUAUUGCACAAUGGGCGCAAGCCUGAUGCAGCCAUGCCGCGUGUAUGAAGAAGGCCUUCGGGUUGUAAAAUACUUUUAGCGGGGAGGCGUUACCCGCAGAAAAAGCACCGGCUAACUCCGUGCCAGCAGCCGCGGUAAUAC